ACUUAUCAAUCUAUUUCUAAAAUCCUAGACAUUAUUUAACGUCUAUCUAUUUUUUGAAAAUUUUAGUUAUGCAUCUUAAAUGCGUUCUUCUUGGUGAAAAUGGUAAGACUAAAGAAAUGGCCGAUUUAGAAAAAACUUUUUUUUAACUAAAAGCUGUCCUGUUCGGUAGUUUUGUCCGAUGGCGGUAUGUUAUUGCUUUUGUUUUCUUUUCUUUUUUUUAAACAGUUUUCUUUUUUCUGCAACGAAUGCGGACGGAUAAUUAUACAUCAUCGAAAGGAGCAUGACAUAACUUAAUUAAUAAUACGUAGAUACGUAGAGAGUACAUAAUAGCAUGGUUGAUUUAAUAUAUAUGUCUGACAUAUUAUUGAAACGUUAAACGUUAACAAUAACACGAUGUUUUUUGGGGUUUUUUUGUGGGGGUGUGGGGGGAGGGUUUUUUUUUUCUUUUUUUUUUCGCUUGUUGUGUACUACUUGUACAACUGCCUGUAGUGAUGUUGAUAUGUACCAAAGAAAGGCACAUUUUAUCACGAAUGUUAUCGAAUUCAGAAUUUCGCGACAUAUGCGAAACUAGCAUUACGGAUUAAGAUAUCAAACAUUAGAUAGGAUACCUUUAAAACGUUCUGCUAACUAUACCAUUCUCUUUAACUUUCUUGCUUCAUUACCCGACUGGAAAACGAAACGAAAACAGCUUGAAUAUAGCGGUGUUAAACUUUCAAGCGGCUAUGAUACCAGUAAUUAUUGGUGUUAUUGUUGUUUUAAUGUGUGUGUCUGCUGAGGAACAACAACAACAAUGCAUGCUACAACAAGUUCGAGUACGAGUACAAUGUUCUCGAAAAAUUGAUUUUACUGGGACAGAAAAUGGAACGACAGGAAAAUAACUGUGCCGAUCUAAGAGGAGAACUUCAAGAUGCUCGUAGAAGAAUAGACGAAUUAAACAAUCAACUGAGAACCGCUGAUGGCUCAUCAUACAUACGCUGGGGACGAACAACAUGCCCAGAUGGUGCUGUUCUGGUAUACGAAGGUAGUGCCGCCGGAGGACUUUAAACAGAAACGGGAGCUGCUGCCAAUACCCUGUGCCUUUCAAACGAUCCCGAAUGGAAUGAAUAUAUUGAUGGUUUUUCGGGAGGAACUAGAAUUUAUGGAGCAGAAUAUUAUACGACGGGCAGUUUAAGAAGCUGGGCCCGCCUGAAUAAUCACAAUAUACCGUGUGCCGUGUGUCGUGUCCGCCAUGGUAACGUAUUGAUGAUACCUGGACAGAAAAGUUGUCACGGAGACUACUCUUUACAGUAUAGUGGAUAUCUUAUGGCAGGAAAUUAUCCCGAUGCUGCGUCAUCGGAGUACAUCUGUAUGGACAGUGACCCUGAGAAAAGUGAUGCUGGAACAGGAGAUCAAAUCGGGAAGAAUUUCCGUUUAGUGCAAGGCGAGUGUGGUGCACUUAAAUGUCCGCCGUACGUGGAAGGAAGAGAAAUUACUUGUGCCGUGUGCUCUUUUUCUGCAAGAUCGCAAACCCAAAGUUUACAACCAAUAUCAUAGUGCGUCACAGUAUUUUGUUUGACAGCCUUUCGAUGUAGAGAAUAGAAUAUCCUGGACUUGAAUUUGUGUCUCCUAUCCAAAUAUCUGCAUUAAAGCUAACAUUAGAACAAUCAGUCAGUUAAUAUUUUAUGGAACAUCAUACCAUGAGGAAACACACAUCAAGAAAGCAGUGAACUGUUAUAAUACAUAUAUUUUGCGCCAUAUACUGUAUAAUUUAUUCUUUUAAAAGAUAUUCAAAUUUGUGCUAACAUUUAUGAGAGUUUAGCGUUAUAACGUUCCCUUGAGAAAAUGUACAAAGCAGUACUUGUUGUCUUCAUUGCUACUUCAUCUGUCUCUUGCUUACUUAUGUAAUUAUAAUUAUUGCUGCGAAACGUGGAUUUUUCACACAAAUGAAUUUCAUAAUUAUAAGGUGCAAUAUCAUGAAUAUGCCGAUAAAUGAUCUGUAUUUACAGUGCACCAGUAACCGAUUCUAAGACAUUAGGCAGACUCAAAAACAAUGAUAAUCAAUGCUUUGAAAUGUCUGAAGGUUUAUUUUCUGUUUAAAUGCCAGUCUAUUAAUAUACAUGAAUGAGAAACAAAUAACCA